rnacentral:rRNA from 1 species
CACGUAGGGGGCGAGCGUUGUCCGGAUUUAUUGGGCGUAAAGAGCUCGUAGGCGGCUCAGUAAGUCGGGUGUGAAAUCUCCAGGCUCAACCUGGAGGGGUCAUUCGAUACUGCCGUGACUAGAGUUCGGUAGAGGAGUGUGGAAUUCCUGGUGGAGCGGUGAAAUGCGCAGAGAUCAGGAGGAACACCCGUAGCGAAGGCGGCACUCUGGGCCGAUACUGACACUGAGGAGCGAAAGCGUGGGGAGCGAACAGG